CAUUUUGCAAAGAUACAGGCAAUCAAGCAGUUGAGGUUUGAUUUAGUAUAUAUCACCUUACAUGAGCACAGUAUAUCGUAUGUAUCCAGAUAAAGUUGAACAUACUUACAAGCGCCUUUGCACCGCAUAUUCUAGGAACUUAGUUCUAUAAAGAAGCCAACAGGGUCGUUCUGAGAGAACCAAUUACUCCCUCGGGCUGUUUUCCUGGUUGCAUUCGCACCGGCAACAGGAACUCUGAAGCGGUCAAUAGGGAUGUCUUUAUUCGCGGCAUUUAGCAUUUACAAUGUUACAUGUUUUUGAUGUGUGUUGCGGGUUUUGUGAUAACGGAGAGGGAGUGUAAAAUACAAUUUA